rnacentral:lncRNA from 1 species
CUCCCUCCGAUUUAAAUUAAUUUACCCAAAUUUAGUACUCGAGUAACGUGCUUCAAAUCCCCCGCCACCCCUCCCGCCUCCAUGAAGCUUCCUACACAUGAAUAAUUUGUUAUAGAUGAUUUUUUUUGUUCGCGCUCCAUACGUAAAAAAAAACAGUUUUGAAUUAUUUUGAUGAUUCGGCUAGAAUUGCUCCAAGAUCAUACGGUCAUCAUCAUGUGGACGGUCUAAGAUGAGGCCACGCACCUUCCACCACCACGACCCACACGAUCUGAAACCGCCAAAAAUAAAAAACGCCUUUUUCGCUCUCGAGCUCUUCUUCUCUACUGCUCUCCCCCUUUUCCCCAUUCCCCGCCGCUACCCUCGUUCGCGCGAGCAAACGCCGGCUCAACAGGCCUCUCCGAUCAGGUACGUGCCCUCCUGGAAAUCCCGCUCCUCUCGCCGAAUUUUUCCCUGCUUCUCCCGAUUGGGCCCUGAAUUC